AUGGCGUACCUACACCAUAACCACCAUGGAAGUAUUGUUCAUUGUGAUCUCAAACCCAGCAACAUUCUUCUGGACAAUGACAUGGUAGCUCAUGUUGGAGACUUUGGACUCGCACGGUUGCAAAGCCUAACAAAUGGCAUGUUCAAGGACGGAUUAAUCAUUGCCAAGUUUGCAGAGGUUAACAUCCCUAACAAGAUGAUGCAGAUCGUCGAUCCACAACUGGUACAAGAGUUGGACCUUUGCGAAGAAGCUCCAUCGGCGGAGGAUAAUGGAGUACAUUGUUUACUUUCUGUGCUGAAUGUUGGCCUUUGCUGCACCAAGUCCACUCCAAGUGAACGCAUCAGCAUGGAUGAGGUGGGGGGGGAGGGAUUCAAUCUGCAGGUGCCGGAUCUGGUUUUACCACAGCUAAGAGCAUAUGCAAAUGUCUGGUCAGAACUGGGGUUCCUCGGUCCACAAGAUGCAGUGUACUUCAUCGGGUACAGGUCAUGUUCAUCUCACACCCCAACCUUCUUGGUUAAUAUAGAUCAGGUCGACGGCCAGUGGCCCCGCGCACCCCGCCUCCAUCCCCUACCUCUAGCCCUCACGCGCGCAUCCCCUUCCCCUCCCCGUGCUGCGACGGAGGCCACCACGAGCUCCAUCGCCGGCGGCCAGGCGCUCCCUCGCGCAACCACCAUGGCUGCCUGCUGCCAUGGCCAGAUCCAUCCCCUACCUACAUCCUUCACGUGUGCACAUCCCCUCCCCCUCUCCUAUCGGGCUGCGACUGGGCCACCACAGGCUCCAUCGACGACGGUCAGGCGCUCCCUCACCGGCCGCCAUGGCUGCUUACCGCCAUGGCCGGAUCCACCCGCGUAUACAACGAGCAUCAAUGGCGAGGGGUGGCGGCCGAGCUACAACCGCCGCCGUCAAGAGCUGCAACGCAGGUGGAGUUGUUGCAUGGCGGCCGGCGACGAGGACGGCCGGCGACGGCGGGGACCGACGACGAGGAUGGCCGACGAGGGCGGGAUCCGGCGGCGACGAGGAAGACCGGCGAGGGUGGGGACCGACGACGAGGAUGGCCGGCGAGGGCGGGAUCCGGCGGCGACAAGGAAGACCGGCAAGGGUGGGGACCGACGACCACCGGAGGGGAUAGGAGUCGUGGCGCCGCGCUCCCCCGAACAGGACUGCCCGAGGAAGAAGAAAGAGAGCUGGGGUUCCUGCACCGCCAAGACUGCCUGCAUCGUUCAAUGCUUGUCGUCGAACACCCUGGCGCUGCGUUCCUACCACAGUUUGCGAAGUCCGACGCGCCCGAUAGUGCGCAUGUACAGGGAGCUGACUUGGUUUGCAUUAGGUGCCUUCAUGUUGUGCUCUUCUUAUCUGCUGCACCUGUUGGCCAUGUCCGUCCGAUUUGGGCUCUUCGGGUCCUGCCGUGUCGUCGGACCGAUCGACAUCGGUGGCCACAAACAUGGCAACAUUCGAGUUUGCUUGGCUAAGAGUAAAGGAGGUGCCUUUCCCUCCUCCUAUUGUGGUUGGGUGGCCGUGACGUGGAUGAUUGGUGGUGUCUGGGGGCAUGGAUGCCAGGGCGGUGCCCCCAGAUGA
rnacentral:rRNA from 1 species